GGCAAUUUUAAUGAACAUGUUAGCACAGCAUCAGCAACUGUGAGAAAUAUCUUGUCCUCACCAAUUUGAUCUGGAAAUUUGGAUGCAUGUAGCUUGUCAAUCACUACUCUCCCGGGGUUCGACAGAACAAGCUGUAACGAAGGCUUCUAUGCAACUCUUCCAAGGCAUGGAUACCACUGGUGUCAAUAUCAGUAACAGCUACAAGGAGAAAAAAACACGAAGGAUGGAUCGAUCAAUAUAUCAUCUCAGAGUAAGAUAACAUACUUUUUAUCUCUACUUACGUGACAUCUCAACGAUCAAGAACUGAAUUUUAGGAUCACUAGUUGCUUUUCGUUGUUCUUCCUCAUCCAUCAGCCAUCUCAGUAUCCUGAAAAAACGCGUUGAUUAGUUUGUUAAGUUCAGUUUUUUCGUAGUACUAAAGAUACGAAAGGAAGGGAGGAAAGGGGAAGAAAUGUCGUUUUACCUUUCCUUUAUAUAGUUAGAGUUUGAAAAGUAUAUAGCAGAAUCAACUCUAACUAUCAAUACACCAGGAACUUUGGUUGCCUCGGGGUAUUGUUGAGUGUUUCUAUAUACAUUUGUCCGCGGUAUCCUGCCUAGAGUAGCUGUUCGUGGCCUCGUGACUUGGAGGAGAAUCUUAGCAAAUGAUAUUGUUACCUUUGGAAAAAAUGAAACUAUCAGAUCUUAUUACUGAAUGAUGAGAUUGUUGAGUUUUUCUGUAUGGACUUACCGCGAUCAAAAGACCAAUUUCAACAGAAGCAAAGACCACGCCAAAAAAUGCUCCGAUGCAAGCAACAAAGUCAAAUUUAUCGAUCUUCCAGAUCAAAAUUGCAGCUUCAUAGUCAAUUAAGCCUAGUACAGCUGAGAUGAUGAUAGCAGCUAGGAUAGCAUUCGGAGUAAACUUGAAAAGAGGUGUUAUGAACUCCAAAGUUAGGAACACGACAACAGACAUGACAAUGUUGGAAAAUGCGGUCUGGCAGCCAGCCAUGUAGUUUACUGCUGAUCGAGAAAAGGAACCUGCAAGAAGUGAAUCGAUCAACUAGUUAGACAAACCAAUUAAUGUGAUGAAAGUUGAAAACACAUUGUAUCAUUACUGAUCAUACUGCGUUUGCUUGUUGAUUUGUUUUACCUGUAGCUACAUAACAGGAUGUCAUCGAGCCAACGAUGUUCAUA